UGGGGAAUUUUGGACAAUGGGCGAAAGCCUGAUCCAGCCAUGCCGCGUGAGUGAAGAAGGCCUUCGGGUUGUAAAGCUCUUUUAGUCGGAAAGAAAAGAUCAUAAUGAACAAUUAUGAUUCAUGACGGUACCGACAGAAAAAGCACCGGCUAACUACGUGCCAGCAGCCGCGGUAAUACGUAGGGUGCGAGCGUUAAUCGGAAUUACUGGGCGUAAAGGGUGCGCAGGCGGUUUUGUAAGUCAGAUGUGAAAUCCCCGGACUUAACCUGGGAAUUGCGUUUGAAACUGCAAGACUAGAGUGCAGCAGAGGGGAGUGGAAUUCCAUGUGUAGCAGUGAAAUGCGUAGAGAUGUGGAAGAACACCGAUGGCGAAGGCAGCUCCCUGGGUUGACACUGACGCUCAUGCACGAAAGCGUGGGGAGCAAACA
rnacentral:rRNA from 1 species